GUCCGAGCGUUGUCCGGAAUUAUUGGGCGUAAAGGGCUCGUAGGCGGUUUGUUACGUCGGGAGUGAAAACUCAGGGCUCAACCCUGAGCGUGCUUCCGAUACGGGCAGACUAGAGGUAUGCAGGGGAGAACGGAAUUCCUGGUGUAGCGGUGCAAUGCGCAGAUAUCAGGAAGAACACCGRUGGCGAAGGCRGKUCUCUGGGCWKUWMCUGACGCUGAGGAGCGAAAGCAUGGGGAGCGAACAGGAUUAGAUACCCUGGUAGUCCAUGCCGUAAACGUUGGGCRCUAGGUGUGGGGACCUUCCACGKUUUCCGYGCCGYAGCUAACGCAUUAAGCGCCCCGCCUGGGGAGUACGGCCGCAAGGCUAAAACUCAAAGGAAUUGACGGGGGCCCGCACAAGCGGCGGAGCAUGCUGAUUAAUUCGAUGCAACGCGAAGAACCUUACCUGGGUUUGACAUAUGCCGGAAAGCCGUAGAGAU
rnacentral:rRNA from 1 species